CUUCCAGACUCCUACGGGAGGCAGCAGUGGGGGAUAUUGCACAAUGGGGGAAACCCUGAUGCAGCGACGCCGCGUGAGUGAAGAAGUCUUUCGGUAUGUAAAGCUCUAUCAGCAGGGAAGAAGAUGACGGUACCUGACUAAGAAGCCCCGGCUAACUACGUGCCAGCAGCCGCGGUAAUACGUAGGGGGCAAGCGUUAUCCGGAUUUACUGGGUGUAAAGGGAGCGUAGACGGCUGUGCAAGCCAGAUGUGAAAGCCCGGGGCUCAACCCCGGGACUGCAUUUGGAACUGCGUGGCUUGAGUGUCGGAGAGGCAGGCGGAAUUCCUAGUGUAGCGGUGAAAUGCGUAGAUAUUAGGAGGAACACCAGUGGCGAAGGCGGCCUGCUGGACGAUGACUGACGUUGAGGCUCGAAAGCGUGGGGAGCAAACAGGAUUAGAUACCCUUGUAU
rnacentral:rRNA from 1 species